AAUUCGUGUUGCAUUCCGAACAUGAUUUGUGAUGCGCAUGACAGUAACACGGAAACUGCAUGUUUAUUUUUGAUAACGCUUUAACACGAUUUAAACCCUUGCAAAUAUUUAAUUGUAGAUCGUUUACUGUGUAUAAGAUGGAGGACCAGGAGAUGCAACUGAAAGUUAAAAGAGUGACUGACAAAUUCACGGAGAACAUGUACGUGUUGGCUAACGAGCCAUCAGUGGCUCUUUAUCGACUGCAAGAACACGUUAGAAGGUCCCUCCCAGAGCUAGUACAACACAAAACAGAUAUGCAGAGCUGGGAGGAGCAAAGCCAAGGAGCAAUCUACACUGUGGAAUAUGCAUGCAGUGCAGUGAAAAGCAUGACAAACAGCAGCCUGUACUUCAAAAGCAUCGAUGGCCUCCUUCGUCAAGCCAUCAGCAUGAAGGAACAGAUCAGCACCUCCCAGGGGCGCAGCGCACAUGAAGUGACCCCCUCUCCCAUUCCCCCUGCCACUCCACCACAUCCCCCAUCUCCUUCCUCCUGACCUUUGGAAGACACUGUCCAAGGUUAGUCGAUCCUCAGGCAUCACUCAAAGCUAUACUUGGACUAAAGGACUUCUAGGCACUCUCUUGACUUUCAACAGGAGAAGAACCACAGACCCAAGAGUGCUGAAGGAAGGAGGAGAGAAACACAGCUCUGGGACAUGAUGAUGACGACAUUGUGGCAUUGCAGUGAGGCUCUGGCUAAGUUCCCUCUGAAAGGGAGCUGUGGGGUCAGGAGGUCAUUCACCCUACCAUCACAAUGGUGCCCUGCCCCCACCACCUCAACAAGACACUCAAUGGAAUGGAAAGCCAGCAGCUUUGCCAGGACAUACCAUAACAUACAUUAAUGCAUCAAAUAAGUCAUUAUUUUGGGCCUUGUGUAUCAAUCAAUUGGAGGGACUCUGAAAGUAGUGAUUUUUGCCUCUGCUGCAAAUUAACUGGAAUAUAUCUGUAGGAAUCUAAAUUAAGUUUUCCUUUCUAGGGUCACAACUAUUUGGUAGAAGCUGUUAAUUGUUUAGCCUAAACGUAUGUAAUGUCUGAUAAUUUAGCUAAAGCAGAUUCAUUUAAAAGCUUGCACGUGAGGUUCAUUUGUAUUUAUAAUGGAACCCCAUUAGCUGCUGCCAAAGCAACAGCUACACUUCUUGGGAUCCAGCAAAAAUGAAUGCAGUAAUAUAUAUAUAUAUAUAAGAAUAUAAUUUUAAACAUUAAAAUAAAUGUUACAACAUUAACUGUCUCUCUGCAGGCCACUACUCUAAUGCAACACGCUAUCCAGGUGUGUGUGUGUGUACAUAUGUACCUGUUUGUGUGACCCUUCAGUCCUCACUGUUCCAUAAGGUGUAUUUGUCUUUUUUAAAUCUGAUUUUAUUGCUUUUGGGAGUUACUUGAUGUGGAAUAGAGUUAUGUGGGCUGACUACUGUGUACAUAACGCUACCAAAUAUGUAGCAGUUUGUUACUUUUGAUUUUGCCAAUGAGUUUGGGGUGACAAGUGUUAAGACCAGCUGGAUGCAGAUUGCUUUGGUCCACAAUAUGUCCUGGUCAUUAACUAGGCCUCACUGUUAUUUGUUGUUGGUCUUACCUGCUAAGUAUACUGAAACCCCAAGGCAAAAUAGUCCUAUGGCCACAUGUCGGACAGCUCGGCUAUCCAAUAGGAACCAGUCUGCUCUGUGGGAGGAAAUGAAGCAAAUGCAAUCAGUUACAUGACCAUACUAUUUGUGGAAAGUGCUAAAUUAUGUAUUUAGACCAAAAUAAAUUCAAGGUUGUAAUUA